AUUUUGAAAGCUUUUAAGCACUGAACUUUUAAUUCAGAGAAGGAAAACUUCCUCAAAAUA
rnacentral:tRNA from 1 species